CCUAGGGUCAUAUCUCCCUGUAGUUUUCACCUGGUUUACCAAUGAUGACCAGGGUUGAGCCUGGCCAGUACCUGGAUGGGAGACCUCCUGAGGAAAACUAAGGUUGCUGCUGGGA
rnacentral:rRNA from 1 species